rnacentral:tRNA from 1 species
GCCCGAGUGGUGGAAUUGGUAGACACAAGAGACUUAAAAUCUCUCGAAACGCUUGUUUCGUACCGGUUCGAUUCCGGUCUCGGGCA